rnacentral:rRNA from 1 species
GGCCCGCGGCCUAUCAGCUUGUUGGUGGGGUAAUGGCCUACCAAGGCUACGACGGGUAGCCGGCCUGAGAGGGUGACCGGCCACACUGGGACUGAGACACGGCCCAGACUCCUACGGGAGGCAGCAGUGGGGAAUAUUGCGCAAUGGGCGGAAGCCUGACACAAGAACGCCGCGUGGAGGAAUAACACCCUUCGGGUUGUAAACCUCUUUC